AGCGGAUUAGCGGCGGACGGGUGAGUAACACGUGAGUAACCUGCCUUAGACAUUGGGAUAGCCUUGGGAAACCGGGAUUAAUACCAAAUAAAAUCAUAAUGACACAUGUCAUAACGAUCAAAACUCCGGUGGUCUAAGAUGGACUCGCGUCCCAUUAGCUAGUUGGUAGAGUAAAAGCCUACCAAGGCGACGAUGGGUAGCCGGCCUGAGAGGGUGAACGGCCACAUUGGAACUGAGAAACGGUCCAA
rnacentral:rRNA from 1 species